rnacentral:rRNA from 1 species
AUUGAACGCUGGCGGCAGGCUUAACACAUGCAAGUCGAGCGGGGGAAGGUAGCUUGCUACCGGACCUAGCGGCGGACGGGUGAGUAAUGCUUAGGAAUCUGCCUAUUAGUGGGGGACAACAUCUCGAAAGGGAUGCUAAUACCGCAUACGUCCUACGGGAGAAAGCAGGGGAUCUUCGGACCUUGCGCUAAUAGAUGAGCCUAAGUCGGAUUAGCUAGUUGGUGGGGUAAAGGCCUACCAAGGCGACGAUCUGUAGCGGGUCUGAGAGGAUGAUCCGCCACACUGGGACUGAGACACGGCCCAGACUCCUACGGGAGGCAGCAGUGGGGAAUAUUGGACAAUGGGGGGAACCCUGAUCCAGCCAUGCCGCGUGUGUGAAGAAGGCCUUAUGGUUGUAAAGCACUUUAAGCGAGGAGGAGGCUACUUUAGUUAAUACCUAGAGAUAGUGGACGUUACUCGCAGAAUAAGCACCGGCUAACUACGUGCCAGCAGCCGCCGCCG